rnacentral:rRNA from 1 species
GCAAGUCGAACGGUAACGCGGGGCAACCUGGCGACGAGUGGCGAACGGGUGAGUAAUAUAUCGGAACGUGCCCAGUAGUGGGGGAUAGCCCGGCGAAAGCCGGAUUAAUACCGCAUGAGACCUACGGGUGAAAGCGGGGGAUCGCAAGACCUCGCGCUAUUGGAGCGGCCGAUAUCAGAUUAGGUAGUUGGUGGGGUAAAAGCCUACCAAGCCGACGAUCUGUAGCUGGUCUGAGAGGACGACC